rnacentral:pre_miRNA from 1 species
CUAUGGGCCUGAUCCAAAGCCCAAUGAAGUCAGUGAGGAUCUUUCCAUUGACUUCAAAGGGCUCUGGAUCAGGCCCUAUAAAC